rnacentral:rRNA from 1 species
ACGGAAGGCAGCAGUGGGGAAUAUUGCACAAUGGGCGGAAGCCUGAUGCAGCGAUGCCGCGUGAGGGAAGAAGGUUUUCGGAUUGUAAACCUCUGUCCUCAGGGACGAUAAUGACGGUACCUGAGGAGGAAGCUCCGGCUAACUACGUGCCAGCAGCCGCGGUAAUACGUAGGGAGCGAGCGUUGUCCGGAAUUACUGGGUGUAAAGGGUGCGUAGGCGGGACGGCAAGUCAGAUGUGAAAUGUAUGGGCUUAACCCAUAACCUGCAUUUGAAACUGUUGUUCUUGAGUGAGGUAGAGGUAAGCGGAAUUCCUAGUGUAGCGGUGAAAUGCGUAGAUAUUAGGAGGAACAUCAGUGGCGAAGGCGGCUUACUGGGCUUUAACUGACGCUGAGGCUCGAAAGCGUGGGGAGCAAACAGGAUUAGAUACCCUGGUA